AGGCUAGGGGUCUAACCGGAGCUGUAGCCGCCGGCCUACACUACAGCCACAGUGACAUGGGAUCCAAGCUGUGCCUGUGACCUACACCACAGCUCACGGCAACGCCGGAUCCUUAACCCACCAGGCAAGGCCAGGGAUCGAACCUGCAACCUCAUGGUUCCUAGUCGGAUUCGUUAACUACUGAGCCACGAGGGGAACUCCAGUGUUGUAGUCUUGGUCAGAAGGCAGUCUGGAGGCCCAGGUCCUUCUUCUUUGGAGGUCUUCAGUCUUUUAAAACCUUCAGCUGAUGGGAGAAGGCCCCUCAAGUUAUGAAGACUAUACUGCCUUACUCAGAGUCUGCUCAUUAAAGUGGUAAUCACAUGGAAAAAUGCCUUCCCAGCACGAUUCUGAGCGAUGCUUGAUCAGACAGCUGAGCACCACAGCCUAGUCAAAUUGACACAUAAAAUUCACCAUCGCAGUCUUUAAUAAAAACCAUACUCGUGGUGCUUCUCUUGGGCAGUUGUAUCAGAAAAAUGUUGUUGGCUGUUGACAGAAUCAGAAAAUGCACGAAAUGAGAGCUGUGAGUUUCAGUUUUAUUCAGGGAACUUACUGAGGACUAUAGCCCUGGAGACAGCUUCUCACAGGACUUGCUCUAAAGGGAUGAGGGAGGAGCCAGUGCAUCUGAAUUCUUUUUGGCUGGGAAAUACAUGCAGUUAAGCCUACGUCUUGGUGAAAGAUUACUGCUAAUCACACACAGAAAGUGCUUGUCUGUACAUGAGAAGAUGCAGUCAUCUAGGGUCACUGAAUUUCUUCCUUAACUAUGUGUCUUAUUAAAGAGACCCGUCAUCCAAAACAAAGUGCUUCCUUCUGGUUUUCAUCCUGAUUUCCCUUCACAGUGUUCAGUGGCUGCAGCAGCUAAGGACUUGAUCCUUGUAGAACUGGAUGGCGGGCAAUAGUCUUUGCUUUGUAACUCCCUCCCUUUUAACCAUACAUUUGACCAAGACUUGAGAGACAUUUCAUGGCCAGUUUGUCCCCCGGCACUAAGAAGGCUCAUUCCAAGGUCAGGCAGGGAUGUCGUUGAUAGGUCAUUCUGUGUGCUCUUCUGGAUGAGGCCCUGUUAAUAACUUACAAAUUCUCCAGAUUGUCUGUUUUAUUAGUCUGUUAUAGUGCAGGAAAUAGUUUUCCUUACAGUUAAUUUUGUACAGGGCUGUGUAUGUGAUCAGUUGCCUCAAGACGUCGAGCCAUCAUUAGUGUCGAGAGAGACCUGGUAACGCAAGAAACGGUGAUCUUAGACAUGCUGUAAGUAACACAGCCAGUGACAUUAAUAAGGUCAUAAAUAGGGAUUCGAGCAUGAGCUUCCGGAACCAAACCAGCUCCUUAAAAGACCACCACAACCAGGAAGUGGAUCUCUCAAGGCAGAAAUUGCGUUUUCCAUGUGCGUUAUUAAAUGGGUUGUAUUAGAGAGUGUUCUGGUAUCGAAAGGCAGCGUUCAGUUUGAAGGCUGGCAUAGGCGCCCGCCUCCUUGAGAUGCUGCAAGAUCUUGAGGACAUGUGUUUUCUAACACUGCUCGUUCUCGUCACAGAGACCUCCGGAGUCAGUAGGCUAAGUUGGAUUCCUCUCGUUUAGGGCCUCCUGGGUGAGUUUAGUCAAGGCUCGCAUGUGGGUGAUUACAGUCCUCCUGAAGGCAUAAAAAUAGCUGCUGAAUGGUCAUACCAAUGCAGUGCACAUCCCUUAAUCCAUCAGGCUUGUAUUAAUGGUGAGUUUGCUGGAGUCAGAUCUGAAUUGGUACACAUAUGGCCUUGAGCCCAAAGGACCCCUAGGGUACAUCUUCCCAACCAUCCUGGCAGAAGCCAGGGCCACAGACUGGUUCAGCAGAGCCAUUGAGUCCCCGCAUAUUCCUGGUCACCUGAUCCAGUUUGUACUAUAGCACCUCCCCCCGCCCAGUCGCUAUCUUUAAGGGAAAUGAUAUGUUGGCAUUUCCCAUAAGCCACUCUCAGCCCGAUUUUCUAAUAUUAUUUGGCUGAUUAUCUUUGGCAUGAUUUUAAUUGUUCCCAACAUAGGCAGACUCUUAAAAGGACCAUAGCCUGGCGUUAGCCAUAUACACCCACCCCAUAACUGAGGGAAGGCCCCUUCUAAUAAUUGGAAAGUUGUGUUCUUUGACUGACGUUUAGCUCAUUGGAAAGUUGUGUUCUUUGACUGAAGUUUAGCUCAUUGCUCUCACUGAGCUUGAGUAACUUUCAAUGAGAAUUCACAUUCAUGGCCAGGGCCAGAGAAAGUAUGAUUGAUUCAGCGAGUGACGGAUUCCCAGCUAGUGGCCUUACAACUUUUUUCUUCUAAAAUAAAUUUUCUGAGGGCCAUCCACUUAGAGCCUUGGAGAUUAAGAAAUGCACCAUGGUAAACCAGAAGUACUGAAGGUAGAUAAUUGAAGAUACACACUUACUAAGUUCUGAGUAUCUUCGGUUUCUCUGUAGAAGGGAGCCUAUGUUCAGUGAUUGAUGUGUCAGUAUCUUGGGGGGAGGGGGUGAUUUAGAUAUUUAGUAAAUUUCCAUCAUUUAACCUGAUUUAGCCAAACUCUAAAGGUUCAGGUAACCAAAUAUUUGGAGAAACUGAUUUUAAAUAGACAUUCUAUAAAACCGAAUUACUCCCAAAGUGAUCCCCUAAAACCUUUUGUCUCAUUUACAUUUAAAAGUGAUCCCCUAAAACCUUUUGUCUCAUUUACAUUUAAUUUACUUAUAUUUCAUCAUACCGAGUUAUCAUCCUUGCUGACAAAUUUUGUAGCAGAAAUAGUAAGAUUUUAUGUGACUUGUAGUAAAUCUAGGUAUAAUAAAUUUUGAUACCUAAUGUUGAAGACUCUGAAGACAUGUCUAUAUUAAUUAAACAAACCUAAACUAAAUUCAGUGCUGAAUAGUAAUUUAAUACUGACUGUUUCCUAGAUCAUGUGAACCUGAAAUUCGUUUGGGUUAGUUUUGUUUCUAUUUCUGAGACUUUAUAUAAGCACUUGAUUUCCUUCAAGCCACUUAAGUGGAGUUCAUUUACAUAUUAAUUUUGGUAGUACCACUGGGAAGUAGAGACAUAUCUAUACCAUACACACAGACAUGUAAACAGAGAUCCCAUAGCUUCAUUUUAAAACUUAGUCGUGAAUCGGGUAUUAUAACAAUUGGAAUAAGCUUACUCACUUGAAUUUAAAAGGCCUCCUUUCCCUUUGGAUCCCCUCAGUCCAGGAAUUAGACAUGGUCUAGAUAAGAGUCCUGGAAGCCCUGAUAGAAAAUUUUAGAUGCAGGGAGAGAAAUGCAGGCUCGUCCUAGAAGGACUCUUGUGUUCCCUUUGGGUCAGAAUUCUGAAAAGCUGUGUCAUCAAGCUGGGCUUCUCUAACUGCUUAUGCAGAAAAGUUGUUAGUUUGUUUUGUUUUGUUUUUUUGAAUGUCAAAAAGAGCCCCGUCUUGGCCAUUUCAGGGUGGUUUUCCUUCGUUCCUAAUUAAAUAAGCACGUGCAAGUGUGGGUUCUGUAUGUAUGUAAACCCGUUGGGGAUAUUAGGGGUUAUCUGGCACCACUUUUUCUGCUGUUUGCGAGAUUCUGUUUCUCAUUUUGAAGUUGGUUUCUUGGAGUAAAAUCGCUCUAGAACACGGUGGUGGGCCAUUGUGCUGCUUGUGAGCUUACUUCUUCUAGCUGUCACUCUGCAGUUGUUCCAGCUCUUGAUAUGUCUCAGUUUCUCCUCCUGGCGGUCUAGCACUGCUGUGGGGGCUCUGAGCACCAAAUGGCCAAUUUUUAUAUGUGCAUCCCUGGAUGAAUGAGGUUUUUGUUUUGUUUUGUUCUUCUUUUUAGGGCCACACCUGCAGCGUAUGGAAGUUUCCAGGCUAAUGGUCCAUUCGUAGCUGCAGCUGCUGACACAUGCCACAGCCUCAGCAGCAUGGGAGCCGAGACACAUCUAUAACUUAUGCUGCAGCUGGUGGCAACAUCAAAUCCUUAACCCACUGAACAAGGCCAGGGGUUGAACCUGAAUCCUUAUGGAUACUAGUCAGGUUCUUAACCUGCCGAGCCACAGCAGAAACUCCUGAGUGAGUUUUAAAAGGAAUGAGUGGGUUUCCUAUGGGACUGCUGCACGGUAUGAGGACUUGCCUCCACCACUCCCCAAAAUUGCUCAGUUGCCUGAAAAAACUGUAACUGGCUGGGAGGAGCUGUGUCCCUUACUUUGGAGCUGAAACCUCUCAUGGUAUUCCAACAAAUCUUCUUAAGGUCAAUGAUUUAAGGGACGACACCAGGUCAGCCUCCUGGCUCAUCACCCAGUGUGGACCUUGCCAGCGUCUCUUCAGCUGAAUACACCCUUCCCGUUCUCUCUCAACUGGACACUUCCUCCAUCUCUUACAGACGAGAAGUCAUUCGUUUCCCUUUUUAUCCCCCGCUGAGUAAAACCUCAGGAUGUUCAGCUGAGACAGGAUAUCCGAGGCCAGGACAGACUUACCCAAAUUAAUCUGGUCUCACCAAGGAGGCAGACAGGGCUCUUCCUGGUCCCAGUGUCCAGAUCCUCAGAGAGUUCAGGCCAAAGAGAGAAGUCUGCUCUUGGUCCCUGCGUGGUUGCCAAAACUGUUGACUGAAAAAAAUUUUGAAACACACAGCAUGAAAGCCGUGAUUUGGGGGCUUAUUCAGGGGCUUUACUGAGGACUGUAGCCUGGGAGAGAGCCUCUCAGAUUGCUCUGAGGAACUGCUCUGAAGAGCUAGGAGAAGAGCCAAUAUAGGCAUGAUUUUUUUUUUUUUUUUUUUUUUUUUGGCUGGGAAAAACAUGUAGUCAAGCAAACAUCUUGGUAAGAGAUUAUUGCUAAUCACAGAAAAACAGGUAUCUCAAAUUAAUGAUUUAAUGGCUUAUUUAUGUACGGGAAGGCGCAAGAAUCUGGGGUCAUCGAAAUUCUUGUGAUAUGCAUUAAACAUCUGGGGGCCUGCAUAUCCCAAACACAGAAUGAUUCAUGCCCUUUUCAUCCUGAAUUCCUUUCAGGGUAUACAGUAGGUCAGUGACUGGAGUGGCUAAAGACUCGAUCCUUGUAGAAUUGGAUCGGUGGGCAACAUUCUUCGUUUUACAGCCUUUGUCUAAUGGAAUCCGGGAAAGCAGUACAUGGCCUGCAGCCUGAGAACGUUCAGCAUCUAUGGUUAAGAUAAUAAGUACAAUACAAGUACAAUAAUCUUUUUAUAUUAGCGGCUUUUAUUUUAAAAACUGAACUCUUACCCCAUUUUAAAGAUGAGAAAACAGAGGCAACGUUUUUUCUGAACUCGCUUAAGUAGGACCAUAAACAAGAUGAGAACUGGAGCACUUCAGGUUAAGUAAAGUCAGUCGUGUGGACACACCUGCCUAGUCGCCUCCUCUUGCUUCCUGCCUCCCCUGGCACAGAUCACCUGAGACUCCUUGGUGGAGUCCUAGGGCCGGAUGGGCGGCAACCUACAAGAUGCCAUAGGAUCCCUCGGGUGCGAGACUUGGGUGAGAUGGUUCAUCUCACGCCGUCUCCGUGGAGAAGGGGAACCUGGGACGGUCUCCCAGGCUUCGGCUUUCACAUCCUCUGUUUCUUGGGUCUCCGGACAGGCAGGAGUUUGUGGAUGCUUAUGUGAAUUACGUCUUCCAAAUCUCCGUUGGCGAGUGGUACACAGCUUUCUCCAGCGGCUUCCUCAAGGUGUGUGGCGGCAAAGUGCUGGAGCUCUUCCAGCCUUCCGAACUGAGGGCCAUGAUGGUGGGGAACAGCAACUACAACUGGGAGGAACUGGAAGAGACCGCCGUCUACAAGGGUGACUACUCAGCCGCACAUCCCACGGUGAAACUGUUUUGGGAAACAUUUCACGAGUUCCCUUUGGAAAAGAAGAAGAAGUUUCUCCUGUUCCUCACGGGCAGCGACCGGAUUCCCAUCUACGGCAUGGCCAGCCUGCAGAUUGUCAUCCAGUCCACAGCCAGCGGGGAGGACUACUUGCCUGUGGCCCACACGUGCUACAACCUUCUCGACCUGCCCAAGUACAGCAGCAAAGAGGUCCUGCGCGCCCGGCUGACCCAGGCCCUUGACAACUACGAGGGGUUCAGUCUGGCCUGAGGCUCCGCAGCCUGCCCCCCGAUUUCCCUUCCUUCCUCACCGUCCACAUCGAGGCCCAUACCAUACAGAAAAUCAUGGGGAGUGAGUUCUAUUUUUUUAUGGUCCAAGUGGGUUGCAGCUUUGGAAUCCUGAACCCGAUGGGUGAGUGUCUGGGGUGGCAAGCAGUAACCUUUUGGAAAAAUCAGGGGUUGGGGAUGGGGGUGACAGAUGGGCCCUGGAAUGGGAGGUGUUUUUGUUUUUCAGCCAAAUCCCCCAGGUUCCUUGCACUCGUGGCCGUGUUGCACUCUGCUGGAUAAAAUGCCAGUGGAUUUUGACACUCCCGUUUCCCCAGUGUCUCUCUCAGCCCUGAUCUCUCCUCACCAAGCUUCCUUGCCCUUGGCUCCUCCCUUCUCCCUCCUCUGCAAGAGCAAUCAGACCCUCCCGUCCUUGCCCACCUGCACAUGCAGGACGUCCUUCUCUGCAGCCUUGGCAGUGCUCCCAGCUCGUUGCCGCCCAGCCAUAAGGACUAAGGCGGAAAGGACUCCUUCAGAAAUUCCCAAGUCCAGCAGGCUGAAUCGGGAUCCAUUACUCUGGCGGAACUCGUGAGAAUUUGUUGGAGAAUUUAAUUUAAAAAAAAAAAAUCCUUGCUUUAAAAAAAAAAAAAAAAAGUUGUCGAGGGACUAGCCGUCUCCCUCUGGCUCUGCCUGUUCCCGGCUCCCCUUAAAGGCGUGCAGAGCCUCUUAGAUUUGCAGCUGAGCCAGAUUUUGUCUGGUUACUCCGCCGAGCCUUUUGACAAUAAGACGAGGUAACAGGCCCCCACCCCCUCCCAUCACUGUGCUUUUGGAGCAAGUUGCGUUCAUUUUUUAAGGAGUAAUUCCUCCCAGAAAAGUAGAAAUAAUAAAUUUCUUAUCCUGUUCCCUGUCACUUCCUGCCUCUACCACUGUCCCCCCCCCCCUUCUCUCUUCCCCUCAUCCCAUUCUUGGUGACCUGACUCUGUCCCCUUCCUCUCCGCUCCUUCUAGUGGAUGCAUGCGGUCUGCUUUAGUUUUUAUUUCUAUUUAAAUUGCAAAAUUUCUACUCAGAUUUUUUUUUUUUCUCCUCUUCCCUAACGGUUAAGACUCAAGGACAUUCUUUAUUAUGGAACUUUUGUUUUAUUGCAUUUGAAAUGUUUGUUUACAGUGGGAUUUCGGAGGGGGGGGAUUGUGUUUAAAGCAAAUAUAUGUAUUUCAAGAAUCAUGACAUGCUCACCUUCUUCACCACGGAUAAGAACAUGCUACAUGAGCAAAGAAUCUAUGUCCGCCUAAUUCCUAGUCACUAGAGAAGAGACUUAUUUAUAUAAAACGAAGUAUUUAUGAACCGUGAGACAGCAUCAAAUCUCAAUGAAGGAUUGUAGAUUUCUGCUUUUUCUUUUUGUUUUUAAAACUUAUUCCAAUUGCUAAAUUGGUAGUUUUUCAGUCUUUAUAAUACAAGAUUAAAAAAAAAGAUAUACUGUUAUACGAAAUGUUUAUUUUCUAUGUGUGUGCAUAUAGUUCACUAUUAUGCAAUAAAUUUGGUGUUUUAACGUAAC
rnacentral:lncRNA from 1 species